rnacentral:tRNA from 1 species
UCCGGGAUCGUCUAGCGGUAGGACAUCGGCCUUUGAAGCCGAGUACCCUGGUUCGAAUCCAGGUCCCGGAG